rnacentral:rRNA from 1 species
UACGUAGGGGGCAAGCGUUGUCCGGAUUUAUUGGGCGUAAAGAGCGUGUAGGCGGUUUGGUAAGUCCGCUGUGAAAACUCGAGGCUCAACCUCGAGACGCCGGUGGAAACCAUCAGACUAGAGUCCGGAAGAGGAGAGUGGAAUUCCUGGUGUAGCGGUGAAAUGCGCAGAUAUCAGGAAGAACACCCGUGGCUAAGGCGGCUCUCUAGUACGGUACUGACGCUGAGACGCGAAAGCGUGGGGAGCGAACAGG